rnacentral:rRNA from 1 species
GACGAACGCUGGCGGCGUGCCUAAUACAUGCAAGUUGAGCGCUGAAGGUUGGUACUUGUACCGACUGGAUGAGCAGCGAACGGGUGAGUAACGCGUGGGGAAUCUGCCUUUGAGCGGGGGACAACAUUUGGGAACGAAUGCUAAUACCGCAUAAAAACUUUAAACACAAGAUUUAAGUUUGAAAGAUGCAAUUGCAUCACUCAAAGAUGAUCCCGCGUUGUAUUAGCUAGUUGGUGAGGUAAAGGCUCACCAAGGCGAAGAUACAUAGCCGACCUGAGAGGGGUGUCGGCCACAUUGGGACUGAGACACGGCCCAAGAUCCUUCGGGAGGCAGCAGGAGGGAAUCUUCGGCAAUGGAGGAAAGUCUGGACGAACAACGCCGGGGUGGGGGAGAAGGGUUUCGGAUCGUAAAAGUCUGUUGGUUGGGAAGAAAGUUGGGGAGGGUGGAAAGCUCAUCAAGUGACGGUAACUACACAGAAAGGGACGGCUAACUACGUG